UAGGGAAUCUUCCACAAUGGGCGAAAGCCUGAUGGAGCAACGCCGCGUGAGUGAUGAAGGCCUUUGGGUUGUAAAACUCUGUCUUCUGUGACGAACAAGCCUGUGAGUAAAAUGCUCAGGCCCUGACGGUAACAGAGGAGGAAGCCACGGCUAACUACGUGCCAGCAGCCGCGGUAAUACGUAGGUGGCAAGCGUUGUCCGGAAUCACUGGGCGUAAAGCGCGCGCAGGCGGCGAUCUACGUCUGGGGUGAAAGCCCGGAGCUCAACUCCGGGACUGCCUUGGAUACGGGAUCGCUUGAGAAUUGGAGAGGCAAGGGGAAUUCCACGUGCAGCGGUGAAAUGCGUAGAUAUGUGGAGGAACACCUGUGGCGAAGGCGCCUUGCUGGCCAAUUUCUGACGCUGAGGCGCGAGAGCGUGGGGAGCAAACAGGAUUAGAUACCCUGGUAGUCCACGCCGUAAACGAUGAGUGCUAGGUUGGG
rnacentral:rRNA from 1 species